UACGAAGGGGGCUAGCGUUGCUCGGAAUCACUGGGCGUAAAGCGCACGUAGGCGGAUUCUUAAGUCGGUGGUGAAAUCCUGGAGCUCAACUCCAGAACUGCCUUCGAUACUGAGAGUCUCGAGUCCGGGAGAGGUGAGUGGAACUGCGAGUGUAGAGGUGAAAUUCGUAGAUAUUCGCAAGAACACCAGUGGCGAAGGCGGCUCACUGGCCCGGUACUGACGCUGAGGUGCGAAAGCGUGGGGAGCAAACGGG
rnacentral:rRNA from 1 species